rnacentral:rRNA from 1 species
UACGAACUGUGCAAACGUUAUUCGGAAUCACUGGGCUUAAAGGGUGCGUAGGCGGCUUGUUAAGUAGGGUGUGAAAUCCCCCGGCUCAACCGGGGAAUUGCGCCCUAAACUGGCGAGCUGGAGUGAGAUAGGGGUGUGUGGAACUUCCAGUGGAGCGGUGAAAUGCGUAGAGAUCGGAAAGAACACCAACGGCGAAAGCACUCUGCUGGGCCGACACUGACACUGAGAGACGAAAGCUAGGGGAGCGAAUGGG